rnacentral:rRNA from 1 species
GAUUCGUCACACUAUCAUUAACUGAAUCCAUAGGUUAAUGAGGCGAACCGGGGGAACUGAAACAUCUAAGUACCCCGAGGAAAAGAAAUCAACCGAGAUUCCCCCAGUAGCGGCGAGCGAACGGGGAGGAGCCCAGAGCCUGAAUCAGCAUGUGUGUUAGUGGAAGCGUCUGGAAAGGCGCGCGAUACAGGGUGACAGCCCCGUACACAAAAGCGCAUGUGCUGUGAGCUCGAUGAGUAGGGCGGGACACGUGGUAUCCUGUCUGAAUAUGGGGGGACCAUCCUCCAAGGCUAAAUACUCCUGACUGACCGAUAGUGAACCAGUACCGUGAGGGAAAGGCGAAAAGAACCCCGGCGAGGGGAGUGAAAAAGAACCUGAAACCGUGUACGUACAAGCAGUGGGAG